rnacentral:rRNA from 1 species
AGAGUUUGAUCAUGGCUCAGGAUGAACGCUAGCGGCAGGCCUAAUACAUGCAAGACGAACGGUAAGUUGAGUAGCAAUACUUAGCCAAGAGUGUCGUACGGGUGCGUAACACGUAUGCAACCUACCCAUACAGGAGGAUAGCCUAGGGAAACCUGGAUUAACCCUUCAUAGUAUUAUUGGAUGGCAUCAUUUGAUAAUUAAAACUGAGGUGGUAUAGGAUGGGCAUGCGUCUGAUUAGUUAGUUGGCGGGGUAAUGGCCCACCAAGACGAUGAUCAGUAGGGGUUCUGAGAGGAAGAUCCCCCACACUGGCACUGAGAUACGGGCCAGACUCCUACGGGAGGCAGCAGUAGGGAAUAUUGGUCAAUGGAUGCAAGUCUGAACCAGCCAUGCCGCGUGCAGGAAGAAGGCCUUCUGGGUUGUAAACUGCUUUUGCCAGGGGAUAAAAUUUCCAUGCGUGGAAAACUGAAGGUACCUGGUGAAUAAGCCACGGCUAACUACGUG